rnacentral:rRNA from 1 species
UACGAAGGGGGCUAGCGUUGCUCGGAAUCACUGGGCGUAAAGCGCACGUAGGCGGACUCUUAAGUCAGGGGUGAAAUCCUGGAGCUCAACUCCAGAACUGCCUUUGAUACUGGAGGAUCUUGAGUUCGGGAGAGGUGAGUGGAACUGCGAGUGUAGAGGUGAAAUUCGUAGAUAUUCGCAAGAACACCAGUGGCGAAGGCGGCUCACUGGCCCGAUACUGACGCUGAGGCACGAAAGCGUGGGGAGCAAACAGG